AUACUUACCUGGAAGGGGAGAUACCAUGAUCACGAAGGUGGUUUUUCUCAGGGCGAAGCUUAUCCAUUGCGUUCCGGAUGUGCUGACCCCUGCGAUUUCCCCAAGUGUGGGAAACUCGAGUGCAUAAUUUGUGAUAGUAGGGAACUACGUUCGCGCUUUCUCUUGGUGCUUCUGUGGUGCGAAUAGUAGGUGAGCCGUAAGUGUUUUUGUAAUUCAGGGUGCGGGCUCGUGUUUUGUGGCUGUGUUCUGUCCGGUCAGUUGUUUCCGUUCGCAACGGUUAGUUUUCCUUUGUGAGGCCAUGUUUGGGGACAGCUUAGAACUAUCCACUUGCUCUCUUGGGAGGCGAA
rnacentral:lncRNA from 1 species